GAAUGUAGGCAAAUCAUAUGAUAUAUAUGUGGCGUCCUUUGGGCCACUCUACCCCUCCUGUUUGAUAACUUUGAAACGGAUGAGAUCCCCACCUCUCAACCAUAUACAUUCAUGUAUGGGACUAUAUAUAUAACUAAUCAAAUGAAAUAUAAGGGGAGUCCAUGGGGUGACCCACCCCCUCCUGUUUGGGAACUUACGAAACGGUCGAGAUCCCCACCCCUAGACAAUAUAUAUUCAUGUAUGGGUCAAUAUAACUAAUUAAAUGAAAUAUAGGGGGAGUCCCCCUACCCCCUCCUGUUUGAGAACUUGGAAACCGAUGAGAUCCCACCCCUAAACCAUAUAUAUUCAUGUAUGGGACAAUAUAACAAAUCAAAUGAAAUAUAGGGGAAGUCCCUGGGGUCAUCCUAUCCCUUCCUGUUUGAGAACUUGAAAACCCUCGAGAUCCCCACCCCUAAACCAUAUAUAUUCAUGUAUGGAACAAUAUAACAAAUCAAAUGAAAUAUAGGGGAAGUCUCUGGGGUCACCCUACCCCUUCCUGUUUGAGAACUUGAAAACCCUCGAGAUCCCCACCCCUAAACCAUAUAUAUUCAUGUUUGGGACAAUAUAACAAAUCAUUUACAUUUACUAUGGGCAGGUCAGUCAGACCUCACCUUUGAUCCUUGUAGUAGUGAACAUUUGUCUGAUUUGUGUCGCAUAACUAUUGUACUAUAGAACACAUACUCAGUUUUCUUUACAGGGAAACCAGUCCAUUCAUACUAUUACAUGUUCUUACUAAGUCAACACGUACUACUAACAGUCAACUAAAACAAACGUUAACUACCAACUAGAACAACUACAAUCAUUGCGAACUUGUACCACUGCAGACUCACCAUAAAAAAUAUACAUUUAUAUAUUCAUUGCUAUUGAAACCUUGAUAACAUAUAAAAAUUAUUUGCCUUAAUAAUUAGUUCAUUAGAUAAACAUAAAUGUACAAUAUAUGAAUGUUUAAUGCCACAUCAGAGGCGGAUUUAGAGGGUUUUUCAGUGGGCCCGCUCCCCCCUUCCAUUUUUGAGAAAAAAUUUGGUUGAUUAUAUAGGUAAUCACUGAAGCAUGACUGGAGCAGGUCCCCUGUUAGGCAGGCAGUGGGCUCCCACUAAUGAAAAUUUCUUGAUCCGCCACUGCACAUAAUUACGUUUGCCUGGUUUUUGGUUAACUGCCUUCAGCGCUU
rnacentral:lncRNA from 1 species